rnacentral:rRNA from 1 species
GACGAACGCUGGCGGCGUGCUUAACACAUGCAAGUCGAACGGAAAGGCCCUGCUUUUGUGGGGUGCUCGAGUGGCGAACGGGUGAGUAACACGUGAGUAACCUGCACUUGACUUUGGGAUAACUUCAGGAAACAGGGGCUAAUACCGGAUAGGAGCUCCUGCUGCAUGGUGGGGGUUGGAAAGUUUCGGCGGUUGGGGAUGGACUCGCGGCUUAUCAGCUUGUUGGUGGGGUAGUGGCUUACCAAGGCUUUGACGGGUAGCCGGCCUGAGAGGGUGACCGGCCACAUUGGGACUGAGAUACGGCCCAGACUCCUACGGGAGGCAGCAGUGGGGAAUAUUGCACAAUGGGCGGAAGCCUGAUGCAGCAACGCCGCGUGCGGAAUAACGGCCUUCGGGUUGUAAACCGCUUUCGCCUGUGACGAAGCGUGAGUGACGGUAAUUGGUAAAGAAGCACCGGCUAACUACGUG